rnacentral:rRNA from 1 species
UACGAGGGGGGCUAGCGUUGCUCGGAAUCACUGGGCGUAAAGGGUGCGUAGGCGGGUCGUUAAGUCAGGGGUGAAAUCCUGGAGCUCAACUCCAGAACUGCCUUUGAUACUGGCGAUCUUGAGUUCGGGAGAGGUGAGUGGAACUGCGAGUGUAGAGGUGAAAUUCGUAGAUAUUCGCAAGAACACCAGUGGCGAAGGCGGCUCACUGGCCCGGUACUGACGCUGAGGUGCGAAAGCGUGGGGAUCAAACAGG